CCCAAAGCCUGUCAACUUAAAAGCGACGCUGGCCGGGCAAAAACAUUGAAUUGCAUGAGCAAAGAUCCCUGGUAGAGUAUCAGAACAGUUAAAGCGUCACUCAGUCGCAUAAUCUUCUUUUCUGAACUCUUUUUUCUUUUGAGGGUUUUUAGAUUUGGAAGCUGACAUCGAGAGAGAGAGAGAGAGAGAGAGAGAGAGAGAGAGAUGGUGACCAUUCGAGGAAUUCUUCUGAAUGAGUUGAUCCUCUUCGCCGAAGACGAAGAAGGAAAUGUGGGGUUUCAGUCCGGAGCAGAAGCUCUUCUUCGUAGACUCAAGUAUUCCGAUCUCCGUGUGGGGAUUUGUUAUGCAGCGGGUGUUUCAACUCAGAAGAUGACAUUUCUUAAGAGUACAGCAACCCUGUAUUUGUUAGAUUUCUUUAUUUGGGAUGCAUCUUCUGUGGAUGAUGCUAUCAAUGAGAUCAUGCUAUCAUGGUGUGACAUGGGAGGAAGUUGUUUCUAUAUUUCUACUUGUGAAGACGAGGACUUCACUCUUAAGAUCAGCAAUCAUGGAUGGCUCCCUGUUGUUAAAAGGACUGAAGGUGACAAUACAGCAGAGAAUUCGAAGUUGCUGCAUAUUCACAAGCUGGAAGAGUUGCCUUUGACUAUUUGCUGUUUUAAUAGAAAGGGAACAGGUAGUAGUGUUGUGACAGUUGGUUAUAUGAUGAAACCUUCUCGGGAAGAAGAUUUUGCAAAGAGAGGUGCAUUUCCUAUGUAUCCUACUCAAAAUGGUUUGAUAUUUGUUCCUCUCACAUUUGAUCUCCCGCUUGAAUCUCAACUGCAAGAAGUUGAUGUGGUUCUACAUAAAGCAACUGAUGAAAUUCUCACCAUUGAGUUGAACAGCUCUUCAGAAUUUUCAAACAAAAUCUCCUAUUCCAAGGGCAUGCAGGAAUUGGAAAGGUAUAUCCGACAUAACCCUGAAUGUUGUGUAAUUGACCCGCUCAAUAACAUAUAUCCUAUGCUGGAUCGGCUAAGGAUCGAAGAGAUUCUACUUGGGUUGGAAGAUCUGAACAGAGAAGGUCAAUGUAGAAUCCGGGCCCCACGUUUUAUAAAGGUUGACAAUUUUAAAGAGGCUAAUUUGGGAGGAAGGCUAUCGGAAGCUGAAUUACUUCUUCCAAGUAUUGUAAAACCACAAGUUGCUUGUGGGGUUGCUGAUGCCCACAGAAUAUUUGUGUUAGGGAUGGGAGUCAUUCUCCUUGCUGCACAACCUUUAUCAUUAUCAAAACAUAUUAGGGGUAACCAUUCUUUACCUAACUCAUCUGAUUUAUUUGAUUUGAGGAUGCUAAUGUCUGCUUGAGACGGGUAAACAUUCUUUACCCGACUCAUCUGAUUUAAUUGAUUCCAGGAUGCUAAUGUCUGCUUGAGACCUUGGUCUGGAUCUGACAAGAAGUUAUGAUACCAGCUCGUGUCUCACAAGGAACUGACCUGCUAUCACCUUUAGAAUUGAAGAUUUUGAAGACCUAUCUGUUCCUCUUCCAGCUGUUAUUCAGGAAUAUGUAGAUCACUCGUCUUUGCUGUUCAAAUUUUAUGUCUUAGGUGAGAAAGUUUUUCAUGCUGUCAGGAAGU